rnacentral:misc_RNA from 1 species
AAUUCUCAACCUUUCUGGCUUUUUCAAAGCUGGAUAGGCUUGGAUUUUGGAGGUUGCUGGUUCUUGCGAAUCGGCUCCUCUUAAAUAUAUUAGCAGUCCUUUGCUGAAGAUCAUUGGUAUGAUAAUUAUCUAUAUCAUUGAGAAACAGCUUCCCUAGUGGAGAGGUUCUGCUUCUAAUCGUCUUUACAAGACAACUUGACAA